CUGCCACUGCUUUCUGAUGGAGCGGACCUUUGGAUGCUCCUGUGCCUCUGGUGGUGGGCUAGGCUGGAACUGCUCUGUUGGAUCCUUACCUUUCUUUUGCAGCGACACUGAAUGGUUUGGCUGGUCCACAACACAGUCUCAGGGAUGGAUGGUCAAGUUGUAUAUGGCUUCCACCAUGUACGAGAUGAAAAGCCAUAUCUUGCUCAAGGACCAGUUGCAAAUAAGGGUAGUUAAAGAGUGGAUGCCCAACUGCUCUGAUGUAGGCCGCUCCGAAUCAAUUAUCCGAUAUAUGGCAUCUCUUGAAGGAUUCUCAGUGGUCUCAUGCCUCUCUGUCAGGAUUCUCCCAGUUUGAAAGAGGGUGUGUGAGAACAUCUCCAUUGUCCUCUGCAGUAACAAGGUUUCUGUGAAGAACUGGCAGGUUAAAGCCAAGAGCAACUACAACUAGGAGAAGCCCUUCCUUUACCUUGCAAGGAAGCUGGCUGCAGUCAGUAUCCAGUACAACGGGUUCUGGGACGUGGGGUGGAGUAGCUACGACGGGGAGGAGCCCUGCGAUGACCUUGAUGCCUACUACCGCUACCACCAGCAUCAAGUCAGAAAAGGAAGGUACUAACUAAACUACAUAAAUAUUCCUAGCUUCGGAAAGAAAAGAUUUUAACUCGGGCCGCCCUGAACAACCCUGUGAUGUGUCGUUUGGACAUGUGAAUUCAAUUGGUAGCAUUGAUAGAUAAACUGAGCCGGCUAUGAGUGCUCUGGCUAGAGAGUUUCUGAAUUUUUACGUCCCUGCUAUCUCUUGGUCAUAUACUUUUAGGUUACAGCUCAAUAACAGAAAAACAUCAGAAAAUAAUCAAAUGGAUGCAAAUAAUUUCAGUUCUAAAAUACAACUUUAUCUUUUGGCAUGGUCUUAUCUUGAUGCGAUUUCCAUUCCAGAAUAUGAAUUGUUUCCAGAAAGUGUCGUUUUAGUUAAUAGACUACAGUCAGUAUUAUUCUUUGGAUGCCUGCAACCUCCAACUAAUUGUAUUUGUAUAACCAUAUCUAUAUAUUUGGGUUGUGCUUGUAAUCUAGAAACAAGGCAUCAAAUCCAGAUAUUCAAGCACAUACUAAUUUCUUCGAACAUGCUACAUUGAGUAAAGAAGCUGUAUUUGCCAAAAUUACUUUUGUUUACACUUGAAAUUGUUCAAUAUGUAUCCAUUGCAAAACAAGGCAUUUUGAUAACACUCCUAUGACAAGUGUGUUUUAUAUAUUUUAGAAAUGGGCAUCAUCUAGCUGGACCGCUAAUAUUUGUACAGGGUAGCAAUUUUGUUUUGGACUCAUUACUAUUUUCUAUAUAUGAUUAUCAUAUGAGGUGGUGGUGGACUGAUGGUUACCCCUUGGCCCAAAGGUUGAGGAAGAUCACUCAACUAGCCCUCUGUCCAGCUGUGUGACAUGCAUAUGCAGUAGGCCUAUGUGUUUCAAAUUAUAGGAGUGAUCUUGAUUUGUUAUGUUGAAUGCGGCGCCUUAAUCAUGCUCUGUAAGAGUGCUAUUAAUUAGAAACUUCCAUACUACUCCCUCCGUUACUUUAUAUAAGGUGUAUUUAUUUUUCCAAAAGUCAAACGAGGCCAUGUUUGACCAAGUUUUUAGAAAAAUAUAUCAAAUUGUUUCCAAAAGUCAAACGAGGCUAAAAUAUUUUGGUUUGAGCUUGAGACUUGGUUACAGCAGAAAUUUCUCAUGGAAUAUACUUAAAUCCAUGGAAAAUAAUAAAUUGAGGUCUUUUAUUAUUGUUUUGCAGGUUAUGAAUAUGAUCUUAUUGUGCUCCACUUGAUCCAUAACUAAAUGUCACAAUAGUAGCUCAUAUGCACUUCUGCUUUGCUGUACAACCAUUUAUUGCUUUGUAUUGCCAGCAUGCUCUAAAAUGCUUAGAACAUGCUUUUGCAGACUGCUUUUUUAUGGGGAGAGGUUUAAUUGUUUCAACCAAGUCAAAGGCAAAAGGAAGGCACACAUCUGCUUCCCUCCUGGUGUUCACAUAUACUGUUGAUGUUGAAAUAAUUAUUGAAGACUGAACUAUAGAAAGAUGGGAUUAGAAUUAGGAGAUAUGUAAAUAUGUAAUUUCUCUCGAAGAUGGGCUCAGAAUUAGAAGAACCAUAUCUGUUGAUCUCUUUCACUAUUGUUAGGACCAACUUUUUUAUAUCAUGAUACAUUUUCCAUGUUCAAAUUCCUAAAGCACUGAAGAGAGGUUUCAAUUUCCUAAUAGUACAUGUUCAA